rnacentral:rRNA from 1 species
ACAAUGGGAGGUGGUGACCAGAAGUACUGGGUGGUAAUCAUUGAUUACUAAUCCCGGAAUGAGCAUAAAGUAAAAAUUUGGUCGAGAAACAACUGGAGGGCAAGUCUGGUGCCAGCAGCCGCGGUAAUUCCAGCUCCAGUAGCAUGUCGUAAAGUUGUUGCGUUUAAAACGCUCGUAGUUGGAUCAUGUGGCGCCUUUAGUUAAAUCACACGACCGACGUUGAAUCCAACUUGAGGCGCGGGUUCGGGUUAACUCUCGGUCCGGCCUGGAGUCUGGAGUCUGGCGUGUGAAUUGUGUGCUAAACGGCGCUAAUUGCGCGUAAGAAUGGUGAUUGGCCUUUGGUGUGUCGGUCACCGUGUCUUACGGAGUGUGCCUUGAAUAAAUCAGAGUGCUCAAAGCAGGCUAGUGCCUGAAUGAUACAGCAUGGAACGAACAAACGUGAAGUAGUGUCUCGGUGGGGUGUCGUUUGGGCACAUUGCAUCGGGACACAUCACCAACCACCAUGUACGGAUGUUGGUUUCCGUAUUGGGGUGAUGAUUAAAACGAGCGGUUGGGGGCAUUGGUAUUUGGCCGCGAGAGGUGAAAUUCUUAGACCGGCCAAGGACUAACAAAAGCGAAGGCAUUUGCCAAGACCGUGUCGAUUAAUCAAGAACGAUAGAGAGAGGUUCGAAGACGAUCAGAUACCGUCCUAGUUCUCUCUGUAAACUAUGCCAACCCGAGAUCAGUCUAGAGUUAUUAGUCACGCUCUAGAUUGGUCCCCCUGGGAAACCUCAAGUGUUUGGGUUACGGGGGGAGUAUGGUCGCAAGGCUGAAACUUAAAGGAAUUGACGGAAGGGCACCACCAGGGGUGGAGCCUGCGGCUUAAUUUGACUCAACACGGGAAAACUCACCGGUUCCGGACGCUAAAAGGAUAGACAGACUGAUAGAUCUUUCUUGAUAUAACGUGUGGUGGUGC